CGAUGGUGUGGGCAGCAGGCCUGUGGGUGAGAGGAGGACACGGCGAGGUGUUGGGGGUCGCACACAUGACUUUGGCCAGAUCUGUCCAGGUCACGGGAGGAGAGGGGUGAGACUGAAACCAUACCCUCAUUCUACGUGCUUCGCAGAUGGAGACAAGGCACCAGAGACUGAAGACCUGUUUUUCAGAGUCAGAGGGCUGGUGGUGAAGUGAACGCUAGCUUUGGUGAUUCUGUCAUGACUUGGCUCUGCUCCUCUCCCUCUCUCAGGUGAGCUGGAGUACUGGGGC